rnacentral:misc_RNA from 1 species
AACCUUAUGGACCUGCGGGCGUAUACCUGCGGAGGGAUCAUUACCGAGUUUACAACUCCCAAACCCCUGUGAACAUACCAAUUGUUGCCUCGGCGGAUCAGCCCGCUCCCGGUAAAACGGGACGGCCCGCCAGAGGACCCCUAAACUCUGUUUCUAUAUGUAACUUCUGAGUAAAACCAUAAAUAAAUCAAAACUUUUAACAAUGGAUCU